rnacentral:rRNA from 1 species
GAACGAGUUAUCUGAACCUUCGGGGGACGAUAACGGCGUCGAGCGGCGGACGGGUGAGUAAUGCCUAGGAAAUUGCCCUGAUGUGGGGGAUAACCAUUGGAAACGAUGGCUAAUACCGCAUGAUGCCUACGGGCCAAAGAGGGGGACCUUCGGGCCUCUCGCGUCAGGAUAUGCCUAGGUGGGAUUAGCUAGUUGGUGAGGUAAGGGCUCACCAAGGCGACGAUCCCUAGCUGGUCUGAGAGGAUGAUCAGCCACACUGGAACUGAGACACGGUCCAGACUCCUACGGGAGGCAGCAGUGGGGAAUAUUGCACAAUGGGCGCAAGCCUGAUGCAGCCAUGCCGCGUGUAUGAAGAAGGCCUUCGGGUUGUAAAGUACUUUCAGUCGUGAGGAAGGUGGUAGUGUUAAUAGCGCUAUCAUUUGACGUUAGCGACAGAAGAAGCACCGGCUAACUCCGUGCCAGCAGCCGCGGUAAUACGGAGGGUGCGAGCGUUAAUCGGAAUUACUGGGCGUAAAGCGCAUGCAGGUGGUUUGUUAAGUCAGAUGUGAAAGCCCGGGGCUCAACCUCGGAAUAGCAUUUGAAACUGGCAGACUAGAGUACUGUAGAGGGGGGUAGAAUUUCAGGUGUAGCGGUGAAAUGCGUAGAGAUCUGAAGGAAUACCGGUGGCGAAGGCGGCCCCCUGGACAGAUACUGACACU